ACGAACGCUGGCGGCGUGCUUAACACAUGCAAGUCGAACGGUAAGGCUCCAGCUUGCUGGGGUACACGAGUGGCGAACGGGUGAGUAACACGUGGGUGACCUGCCCUGCACUUCGGGAUAAGCCUGGGAAACUGGGUCUAAUACCGGAUAGGACCGCACCGUGAGGGUGUGGUGGAAAGUUUUUUCGGUGUGGGAUGGGCCCGCGGCCUAUCAGCUUGUUGGUGGGGUAAUGGCCUACCAAGGCGGCGACGGGUAGCCGGCCUGAGAGGGUGGACGGCCAAUUGGGGACGGAAACACGCCCCGGCCUCCGAGGGGGGGCAGAGGGGGGGAAUGUUGCACAGGGGGGGGACGCCUAGGCAGGGGACGCCGCGGGGGGGGUGAGGGCCUGGGGUUUGAAAACCCCUUCCCCCACGGAAGAGGGGUUGCGGGCGGAGGAGGGAAAAGAGGCCCCGGCAAACUACGUC
rnacentral:rRNA from 1 species